AUUGAACGCUGGCGGCAGGCCUAACACAUGCAAGUCGAGCGGAUGAAGGGAGCUUGCUCCUGGAUUCAGCGGCGGACGGGUGAGUAAUGCCUAGGAAUCUGCCUGGUAGUGGGGGAUAACGUCCGGAAACGGGCGCUAAUACCGCAUACGUCCUGAGGGAGAAAGUGGGGGAUCUUCGGACCUCACGCUAUCAGAUGAGCCUAGGUCGGAUUAGCUAGUUGGUGGGGUAAAGGCCUACCAAGGCGACGAUCCGUAACUGGUCUGAGAGGAUGAUCAGCCACACUGGAACUGAGACACGGUCCAGACUCCUACGGGAGGCAGCAGUGGGGAAUAUUGGACAAUGGGCGAAAGCCUGAUCCAGCCAUGCCGCGUGUGUGAAGAAGGUCUUCGGAUUGUAAAGCACUUUAAGUUGGGAGGAAGGGCAGUAAGUUAAUACCUUGCUGUUUUGACGUUACCAACAGAAUAAGCACCGGCUAACUUCGU
rnacentral:rRNA from 1 species